GGGUCAGUAGGUUGGUCGUGCCACCGGUACGUACUGGUCUCACUGAUUCCUCCUUCCUGAAGAACCGUAAUGUCAUUAAUUUGGUGUUGCGGGGAAACAGGACUGUUACUUUGAAAAAAUUAGAGUGUUUAAAGCAAGCUAACGCUUGAAUACAUUAGCACGGAAUAAUGAAAUAGGACGAUCGAUCCUAUUUUGUUGGUUUCUAGGAUUGACGUA
rnacentral:rRNA from 1 species